rnacentral:lncRNA from 1 species
GCGGCCGCCGCACUCAAGCCUGGCCGGGCCGGCCGGGGCCCCACGCUCCCGCGCCCGCGAUCGCCGAGCGCGAGACUGGCCGGGCCGGCGGGCGCGCGAGCUGCUUCCCGGGGGCGGACUGCUCGCGCCUUCCUUCUGGAUCCACCUCCUUCUACCCCACCUCCUUCCCCUCCCCUCCCGGGGGACGCUCCGGGGCGAGGAGUUUUCGGUCUGCAGUCACCCGGCCCCGGGAGCCAAGCUAGAGGAGGAAGACGGGCCGGGACAGGGGUGGUGCUCGCCAGGCCCCCUACAACCUGGGCACCCGCUAGCUCUUUCGUCCCCGCACCCCGACGCUGGGCACACAACUCCGGCUGCUUCCCGAGCGCCGCUCCGGGAGCGAGCACAUCCCUGCAGCUGUCUGCCGGACAGGUCUUGGGGGACGGCGGCCCCUUUUUUGCAGCGGGUGGGGCGAGAAGCUACGGGAUGUGGAGCUUCCAGAUAAGGGAGUGUCCCUGCCCGCCGCACUGCAAGGGCGGCUGAGCGAUUAGGCGCGGCUAGCGGAACCGAGCGGCGGUGGCUGGGCUUUCCCCACGCUCCCGUCACUAGUUAAGCCGCCAGCCCCGUGGCAGCCGCUCCACAGCCCACUCCCGGGCCUGGGCUCUGACCCGAACGGCUGGCUCCGCCCUGUUGCACCUCAUAACAUCUCCCGCUGCAAACCGUCCAAUCCGGUGACGCUACGACAGUAUGCGACCCAAUCAAGGGCUACCGCUCAAGCCUUCUACCCCGCCCCUCAGCCUCCCCUUCCCACUCCAUCUCGGGAGGUGGCUCACCAGCUCUGAUCCCUAGAGGAGCCUCUAGCUCUGGGGAUAGUGCUUGGCACCUCUUCACCACCCCACCCCUGUCCUCUCCCCGUCUUAUGCACACCCCCCCUCCAGGUCUCUGCCCUGCUGAUGCUGUUGAGGGUCCUUUCGAUCCUCAUUGACAGCUUUUGUGUCUGCCACCAUCCUGAGAGAACAGAACAAAAACCAAGAUGCUGUGGAACGUGUUACCUUUUUCAUCUUUGCUACAAUUGCCUUCUAAAGACUCCUCCUCCUUUCCACACCCAUCGCCUAGGGUCCUGUUUCUUGUGGAGGUUUUUGAAAGAGCACUCAGGAGCUGAUAAAGAAGAAACUGAACCUCACUUUAUUGUUCCUUACAGUGAAAGAGGGCAGACAGAAUUUACAACCAAAUCCAGGCAGAAUUUACCACCAGAACCUGACAUUUAGAGGAGAGAAAUUAACUAGAUCUUUUUUUUUUUUUUUUUUUUUUUUUUUGCAGUAGCCAUGAAAUAUGUAAGGUGUGACUGCCCCUAACCAAAUUAACCAAUAGCCAGGGUGAUAAAUAAUAAAUAAAUGAAAACAGAGCCU